rnacentral:lncRNA from 1 species
UGAAGGUGAUCUUGUGUGGGCCGCAUCGUUGUAGUGGGCUAGAAGAAGGGCGUAAAAGGAAUAGGCUAGGCCUACGAUCCAGUGGGUUAAAAUAGAAAAUUUAGGAAAAAGAAAAAUGAGUUGUUGGGCUGGGCUGAGAAGAAAGGACUUUGGCCUAGAGUUACACUUUGGGAUUUUGGUUCAGAGUUAAACAUUUGGUUUAGAAAUAUUUUAUGAGAAUUUUCCAUCUUUGGUUUUUAUUCAAAUUUGAAUAUAUUUUGAAUUAUAGAAAAUUUUCAGGAUAGAUAUAGGGUUUGGAGCAAACAAAUGCAUCACAUGUGUUGAAC